rnacentral:rRNA from 1 species
AUUGAACGCUGGCGGCAUGCCUUACACAUGCAAGUCGAACGGCAGCACGGGUGCUUGCACCUGGUGGCGAGUAGCGAACGGGUGAGUAAUACAUCGGAACAUGUCCUGUAGUGGGGGAUAGCCCGGCGAAAGCCGGAUUAAUACCGCAUACGAUCUACGGAUGAAAGCGGGUGACCUUCGGGCGUCGCGCUUUAGGUUUGGCCGCUGGCUGAUUAGCUAGUUGGUGGGGUAAGGGCCUACCAAGGCGACGACCAGUAGCUGGUCUGAGAGGACGACCAGCCACACUGGGACUGAGACACGGCCCAGACUCCUACGGGAGGCAGCAGUGGGGAAUUUUGGACAAUGGGCGAAAGCCUGAUACAGCAAUGCCGCGUGGGUGAAGAAGGCCUUCGGGUUGUAAAGCACUUUUGUACGGAAAGAAAUCCUGGGCCCUAAUACGGUCGGGGGAUGACGGUACCGGAAGAAUAAGCACCGGCUAACUACGUG